rnacentral:rRNA from 1 species
GACGAACCACCCAAACGUUAUUCGGAAUUACUGGGCUUAAAGGGUGCGUAGGCGGCGCGGAAAGUCAGAUGUGAAAUCCCUCGGCUCAACCGAGGAACUGCGUUUGAAACUACCGUGCUUGAGUAAGACAGAGGUAAGCGGAACUUCGGGUGGAGCGGUGAAAUGCGUUGAUAUCCGAAGGAACACCGGUGGCGAAAGCGGCUUACUGGGUCUUUACUGACGCUGAUGCACGAAAGCUAGGGGAGCAAAC